UACGUAGGCAGCAAACGUUAUCCGGAGUUACUGGGCGUAAAGGGCGUGUAGGCGGUUUGUUAAGUCUGGCGUGAAAGCUCUCGGCUAAACCGGGAGAGGUCGUUGGAUACUGGCAAACUAGAGGACGGUAGAGGCGUGUGGAAUUCCGGGUGUAGUGGUGAAAUGCGUAGAGAUCCGGAGGAACACCAGUGGCGAAGGCGACACGCUGGGCCGUACCUGACGCUAAAGCGCGACAGCAUGGGGAGCAAACGGG
rnacentral:rRNA from 1 species